CUUCCGUAGGGUGAACCUGCGGAAGGAUCAUUACCGAGUGAGGGCCCUCUGGGUCCAACCUCCCACCCGUGUUUAUUUUACCUUGUUGCUUCGGCGGGCCCGCCUUAACUGGCCGCCGGGGGGCUUACGCCCCCGGGCCCGCGCCCGCCGAAGACACCCUCGAACUCUGUCUGAAGAUUGUAGUCUGAGUGAAAAUAUAAAUUAUUUAAAACUUUCAACAACGGAUCUCUUGGUUCCGGCAUCGAUGAAGAACGCAGCGAAAUGCGAUACGUAAUGUGAAUUGCAAAUUCAGUGAAUCAUCGAGUCUUUGAACGCACAUUGCGCCCCCUGGUAUUCCGGGGGGCAUGCCUGUCCGAGCGUCAUUGCUGCCCUCAAGCACGGCUUGUGUGUUGGGCCCCGUCCUCCGAUCCCGGGGGACGGGCCCGAAAGGCAGCGGCGGCACCGCGUCCGGUCCUCGAGCGUAUGGGGCUUUGUCACCCGCUCUGUAGGCCCGGCCGGCGCUUGCCGAUCAACCCAAAUUUUUAUCCAGGUUGACCUCUGAUCAGGAGUAUGGGAUACGGGCUGAACUUAAGCAUAUCAAUAAGCGGAGGAA
rnacentral:rRNA from 1 species